rnacentral:rRNA from 1 species
AUGGAGGCCUCUGGGAGCUGGGACGCCAUCGACUGGAACCAAAUCGAGGAUCCGAGGUCGCGGAGGUCUUCGCAGGGAAUGGAGGAGUUCCUGCUCGAGGACGAGGAGGUUUAUGCCCAGGGCCAUGGUGUUGUUCUACUAAACACAGAUGAGGCCGGCAUUGUUUCAGUGACAAAUUUCCGUCUUCUCUUUGUGAGCCAGGUAACAAAAAGCAUAAUAGAGUUAGGUACCAUACCCCUUAGUACAAUUGAGAAGUUAAAUGAUGUAAGUCUCCAGGAUGUAAAGCUUCAAUCCGUACCACGCCAGUAUGAUAAGAAGCAGCCUCGUGAACUUCUUCAAGUCAUUGGUAAAGACAUGAGAGUUAUUGUGUUCGCUUUUCGUCCUAGAACCAAGCAGAAAAAUGAAGUGUUUGACGCUUUGAGAAGAUAUGCUAAACCUUCUCAGCUGUGGGAGCUAUAUGCAUUUUCUUGUGACCCAUCCACUGUUGAUAAGAAAUCCGAUCCAAAGAUGCGUCUCAUGAAGGAAUACCAUCGUCUUCUUAGCGAAGGCAGUGAGUUUGAAGUUGAAAAAUAUUAUUUCCGUAACAAUUGGAGACUAACCACAGUUAAUUCGAGCUAUUCAUUGUGUUCAACAUACCCCUCUCAGUUGAUUGUUCCUAAGAGCAUAAGUGAUGAAGAUUUGUGGCAAGCUUCUACUUUCCGAGCCGGCAGACGCUUGCCUAUUAUUUCGUGGUGUAACCCUGUUUCUGGAGCUGUCUUGGCAAGAUCGUCUCAACCGCUGGUGGGAUUAAUGAUGAACUUUAGAAACAAUGCUGACGAGAAGCUUGUUUCUGCUCUCUGCACCCAAAAUGUUGAUGCGAAUUUGCCUCCAAGGAAAUUAUACAUAGUUGAUGCCCGGCCAAGAGCAAAUGCUUUAGCAAAUGGGGCAAAGGGUGGUGGCUCAGAGUCAUCUUCUAAUUAUCCAAAAUCUGAGGUUCUUUUCUUAGGAAUACAAAACAUCCACACAAUGAGAGAUAGUCUUUCUCGCCUUAGGGAUUAUGUGGAUGCCCAUGGGUCAAUAUCAUCAAACGGUUCCUCUUCAGCUGUAUCCCUCGUCGGAGACCGGAGAAAUCGUGGAUCAACCUGGGGUGGAGGCAGUCUUAAUAGCAUGACACAGUUUUCUUCGAUGUUAGGGGAAUGGCUAAAUCAUAUCCAGAACAUCCUGGUUGGUGCUUCAUGGAUUGCUGCACAAAUUGCCCAGGAAUCAGCUUCAGUUCUUGUCCAUUGCAGUGAUGGUUGGGACCGCACAACCCAGUUGAUUGCACUUGCUUGUUUGUUGCUUGACCCCUAUUAUAGAACGUUCGAUGGGUUCCAGGCCCUUGUGGAAAAGGAUUGGCUAGCUUUUGGUCACCCGUUUGCAGAGCGAUUGGGAAUUCCAACAGUGUCCGAGAAUGGGGGAUCACAGUAUGAGUUACUAAGGCAACCAUCUGUUGGGAAUUUAACCAGUUCGCCGAGCAGAGGUUCUUUAGGAACACCAGGGUCAUCCUCUAAUACAUCAGUUCAAUCCCAGACAUCAAACAACAGUUCACCCAUACUGUUACAGUGGCUUGAUUGUAUUGCUCAGUUGUUACGUCUAUACCCAGCUGCAUUUCAGUUUUCAUCUAAAUUCCUAGUUGACUUUAUGGAUUGUGUGCUAUCAUGUCGCUUUGGGAACUUCCUAUGCAAUAGUGAGCGGGAAAGAGAGCAAUCUGGGGUUACAAGCUCUUGCCAUUGCAUGUGGACGUACUUGGCUGAUCUCCGGGCUUCUGGUGGUAGCUUCCAUGAGCACAUUAAUCCAUUUUAUGACCGAGAGAGGUAUUGGCUCCCCCUUGUACCCCCUGCUGCAGCACUUGCUCCAACUCUAUGGCCUCAGUUUUAUUUGAGAUGGACAUGUCCCCCUGAAUCACAAGGUGGCGGUCUUGAAUCCCAUGGGCAUUCCAUGCGUAAAAAAUACGAGGCCUCAGUCAAGUCAAAGGAGAUGGCUGAAUCAAGAUCAAGGGAUAUUAAAAUGAAGAUGGAGUCUAUGCUGACAGACUUGCAGAGGGAGAGGCGUGCAAGUAGUUCAGCCUUAGCCAUGGCUCAAAGGGCUCGAAGGGAGAACGUCGCCAUUAAAAGGGCGAUCCAAACUAUAGGGUGCACUGUUAAUUUCUCGACGAACGAAAACCAAGUGGACAAGUCCGAGGAGAUGUCAUAUUCAUUUCGAAGAGAAGCUGACACUGUAUCCCAGCAAGAUGAUAAUGCUGACCUGUCUGUAUCCAUCUCUGCGAUUGAGGACAGUUUGGUAUCAGAGACACCAAGCAACCAAGUUUGCGAAACGCUCUGCCCCUUCCGCAGCAGAGAGGGGUGCAGAUGGCCGCAUGCUGCUUGUGCGCAGCUAGGAAGCCAGUUUGUUGGUUUAAAGGCAAAUUUUGAUGCUUUUGACCGGCUAUCUGUAAAAGAUUGCUAUUUUCCUAAAGAAUAG